UUCGGUUCUUCAACAUAUAGGAAGACCCGCUGAACUGAA
rnacentral:rRNA from 1 species